CCUGAGCUGAGAUCAAGAUUCAGACGCUUAAUCAACUAAGCAACCCAGGUGCCCCAAAAAUUCUUCUAACUGAACAUGUAUGUUUGGAGACUUCUGAUCAAUUACAUACAACUGGCUUUCAUGGACCAACAUCUUUAAAGGCCAUUUGGAAGCUUCAAACAGGUGCUGAUAUUUCUUGAUGGAUGAUGAAGAGAUUUCGAGCAAAGGUCAUGAGGACCCCCUGGAGAUCUUCACCGAUUGUUCUGUUAAUGAUAUCCAAACAAAUGAGUUUACCAACGAUUCCCCUCACAUGCUUAAAAACAAUCACCCUCUCAUUUGUGCCUGUCUGGUGGUGGAAUUUAAUGAGUAUUUUCAAUCUCACAAGGUGGCAAUCUUCAGGGAGAUAUGAAAGAUGAGGCUCCAUUUUAACUUGUCAACAAAGAGGAUUUGUUUAAUAAAUAUUUUUUAUUAAUCAACUUAGCAGAAUAUAAGAAUAGCUUCAGUCAUUCCUAGCAAAAGGCUACCACUGAGCUAGGACGAUAGUAUUAGCUUAUUUAAAAAAUUGUUGAAAUCAGCUUAUAAGAGAAUUGUUGCUAAAUAUAAUUCAUACCUAACAAUUUUCUUGCCUACAGAAAUAUUUGCACCUCGGUAUUCUGGAGACUGGGGCUUAUUUUCUAUUUCAUGUAUACAAGCAGUUCCUGUUAUUUAUGAGUAUGCUCCAUCCAUGUUCCUAGGAGAAUGUGUCCCAUUCCUGAACAGCCAGCUUUAUAAAGCUUUAUAAAGCUGAACACACACUUGAAGGUUUCAGAGACAACACUGUGGCCAGUGAACAUUCCCGAACAACAGAUUGUUGUAAGUUUUAGCUUUGCAAAACUUUGCAAAACUGCAGGGUUUAUCUUCUAGUUAUUUUGUGAACUUUCUGUAUCAAAGGAGAAAAAAUGGAUUAAAUGAAUGGAUUGAUUUUUAAGAAUUGUUCUGUCUUGAGGGUAUGAAACUAAAGAGCUGCCUCUUAAGGUAACUGCAAAGAACUUUGGGUUACUUCCUUCCCUGUUGUUGCCUGUAAAAUAAGUCAUUUUGGAGUGUAAGGCUUAAAUGCUUUUGGAAUGGCUGCCUUCCAGCCUGAUUGGGCUUUCCCAUAGGUCAGGCUGGGAGCAGAAAGCUUCCCAGGCCCCAGGCAGGAGACUGUUUGUCCUGCCACUGGCAGUGUGACUUUGGGGAGAAAGCUACUUAAGCUCUCUGGGUUCUUCAUUACUUUUUUUCUGAAAUGAAGGGAUUGGAUUGGAUUAAUGUUUCCAAACUUUUGGAGUUACAGUCCCCAGUCCAAGGACUGCCCACCCUUACUUCUCAUAGUUACUGACAUUAGUAUCUAUUGCCUCUUUUAAGAGAAUAAUAGCCAAAGGCAACUUCAGUCAAUAAUUUUUAAAAGUGAUUUGUACUUUAUUGCCACAUAAUCAAUAUGUCAGUAUG